rnacentral:lncRNA from 1 species
UAAAAACCUUCAUCUUCUUCCCCUUUCUUCCUCUAACUCUCAGCUCAAACACACCCACUUACCAUCACCAUUUUCACUUCACUUCCUAGCAAUCCAAGGUGAUUUAGAGGUGUAUGGAGACUAUCUAGGAAGGUGUAAGGUGCUAGAAGUGGAAGGACCUCACUUUGGAGCUUUUAACCACUUGAUUUCUUCCUUGUUCGUCAUCUUCAUUCUUGUGCCACUUCCCUAGCCAUUAGAGCUAGUAGUCACGACGCUACCGGUGAAGUUUACGACGCAGGAAACGCAAAGUUGUAACUAAAGUGGAUGUACGUGCGGUCUUACUCUUGCUCCUGGAUGUCGUUUAUGAUUUUAGCUAUGUUGUGUCAAGACUCCUGUGCCUAUUUUGUGGGAUUUGGUUAUUAUAUUCUAUCCUAUGUGGUGAUAUAAGAAUCAAAGCCUUGAUGUUCGUCUUUUAAAUAAAGUUGUAAACUUUUCGAACAACUAUUAGUUGUGUGAAGUAAACACUUAUCCUAAACUAUGUUUUGAAUGUUUAUUAUCAAUGGCAUUUGGAGUUAUUUUAUGAGCAUGUAGUAUGUUUACCAUUCGUAUGCAAUGAGAACCUUUCAGGAUCACACCUCGUGCUUCCGCCUUAGAAAGGGUCUAUAUAGAGAUAUGUUGGCUACCUGGUCGGGGGUUUAG